rnacentral:tRNA from 1 species
CGGGGUGUAGCGCAGCCCGGUAGCGCGCUUGCUUGGGGUGCAAGAGGUCGUGGGUUCAAAUCCCGCCACUCCGA